rnacentral:rRNA from 1 species
CCUACGGGUGGCAGCAGUGAGGAAUAUUGGUCAAUGGACGAGAGUCUGAACCAGCCAAGAAGCGUGAAGGAUGACUGUCCUAUGGGUUGUAAACUUCUUUUAUAUGGGAAUAAAAUGUUCCACGUGUGGGAUUUUGUAUGUACCAUAUGAAUAAGGAUCGGCUAACUCCGUGCCAGCAGCCGCGGUAAUACGGAGGAUCCGAGCGUUAUCCGGAUUUAUUGGGUUUAAAGGGAGCGUAGGUGGAUUGUUAAGUCAGUUGUGAAAGUUUGCGGCUCAACCGUAAAAUUGCAGUUGAAACUGGCAGUCUUGAGUACAGUAGAGGUGGGCGGAAUUCGGGGUGUAGCGGUGAAAUGCUGAGAUAUCACGAAGAACUCCGAUUGCGAAGGCAGUUCACUGGACUGCAACUGACACUGAGGCUCGAAAGUGUGGGUAUCAAACAGGAUUAGAUACCCCAGUAGUC